GCUCAUUCAGUGCAACCCUGAAAGGAAGUGGAGAACAGAAGUGCUUGAAUCCAAAUUCCCGGUUUGCUCGGAAUUUCAUCAAGAAUGCACAAAGGCAGAAGAGGUCAACUGCCGAUGGGAGUCUGUUGAGGAGUUCAUCAUGAAGCAGAAGACGGCUUGCAUUCCCAAAUAGAACUGCCAGUUCCCUCUGAGUGGGGUCAUAGAAGCUGAAAUGUUUUGAAAUAUCUUGCAUAUGAAUGCAUUCACAUAUCUAAGGUUAUAUGAAGACGUGUCAUAGUUGUAUUAUUUAAAUUGGUUUGCUAAUUUAUUAAAUGUAUAACUACUUUAUAAAGGUGCAAUAAACAUUGUUUUUCAUUUUGUUUUUGAUGUCUUUUUGUUGUCUUUUAUGACAGUCUGUAAAAGCUAUUUUGCUGUUAUGUCCUAAUAAUGGAAACCUGUGAGGGAAAUAAUCCUACAUUGCAUUGUCUACUAAUGUUUGGUAACAUGUUUUGGUAUAUUUGAGGCACUGAUUUUGUUGUAAAUAAAAUGUGUUUUUCUAUGUUUA